rnacentral:rRNA from 1 species
AUUGAACGCUGGCGGCAGGCCUAACACAUGCAAGUCGAACGCGUGGCGGACGGGUGAGUAAUGUCUGGGAAACUGCCCGAUGGAUGGGGAUACCUCCUGGAACCGGUAGCUAAUCCCGCAUACCAUCGGAUGUUCCCAGAUGGGAUUAGCUAGUAGGUGGGGUAACGGCUCACCUAGGCGACGAUCCCUAGCUGGUCUGCGAGGAUGACCGGCCACACUGGAACUGAGACACGGUCCAGACUCCUACGGGAGGCAGCAGUGGGGAAUAUUGCACAAUGGGCGCAAGCCUGAUGCAGCCAUGCCGCGUGUAUGAAGAAGGCCUUCGGGUUGUAAAGUACUUUCAGCGAGGAGGCGUUACUCGCAGAAGAAGCACCGGCUAACUCCGUGCCAGCAGCCGCGGUAAUUC